rnacentral:rRNA from 1 species
CGAACGGGUGAGUAACGCGUGAGUAACCUGCCCUGGAGUGGGGGGACGAACAGUUGGAAACGAACUGCUAAUAACCGCAUAAGCCCACGGAUCCGCAUGGAUCUGCGGGAAAAGGAUUUAUUCGCUUCAGGAUGGACUCGCGUCCAAUUAGCUAGUUGGUGAGGUAACGGCCCACCAAGGCGAUGAUACAUAGCCGACCUGAGAGGGUGAUCGGCCACAUUGGGACUGAGACACGGCCCAAACUCCUACGGGAGGCAGCAUG